rnacentral:ribozyme from 1 species
UGCCCAGCAACUCCUAUCCCUACCUCGUCGUGGUACCGGCCGGAAACGGACGAUCGACAAAAGAAUGUGCAGG